UGGUGGCGAUUUGUGCCGAUUGGCAUGGCUUU
rnacentral:piRNA from 1 species